CCGAACCGACUAAUGUUGAAAAAUUAGCGGAUGACCUGUGGCUGGGGGUGAAAGGCCAAUCAAACCGGGAGAUAGCUGGUUCUCCCCGAAAGCUAUUUAGGUAGCGCCUCGUGAAUUCAUCUCCGGGGGUAGAGCACUGUUUCGGCUAGGGGGCCAUCCCGGCUUACCAACCCGAUGCAAACUGCGAAUACCGGAGAAUGUUAUCACGGGAGACACACGGCGGGUGCUAACGUCCGUCGUGAAGAGGGAAACAACCCAGACCGCCAGCUAAGGUCCCAAAGUCAUGGUUAAGUGGGAAACGAUGUGGGAAGGCCCAGACAGCCAGGAUGUUGGCUUAGAAGCAGCCAUCAUUUAAAGAAAGCGUAAUAGCUCACUGGUCGAGUCGGCCUGCGCGGAAGAUGUAACGGGGCUAAACCAUGCACCGAAGCUGCGGCAGCGACACUGUGUGUUGUUGGGU
rnacentral:rRNA from 3 species